rnacentral:rRNA from 1 species
GAUGAACGCUAGCUACAGGCUUAACACAUGCAAGUCGAGGGGCAGCAUUUCAGUUUGCUUGCAAACUGGAGAUGGCGACCGGCGCACGGGUGAGUAACACGUAUCCAACCUGCCGAUAACUCGGGGAUAGCCUUUCGAAAGAAAGAUUAAUACCCGAUGGUAUAAUCAGACCGCAUGGUCUUGUUAUUAAAGAAUUUCGGUUAUCGAUGGGGAUGCGUUCCAUUAGGCAGUUGGUGAGGUAACGGCUCACCAAACCUUCGAUGGAUAGGGGUUCUGAGAGGAAGGUCCCCCACAUUGGAACUGAGACACGGUCCAAACUCCUACGGGAGGCAGCAGUGAGGAAUAUUGGUCAAUGGGCGCAGGCCUGAACCAGCCAAGUAGCGUGAAGGAUGACUGCCCUAUGGGUUGUAAACUUCUUUUAUAUGGGAAUAAAGUUUUCCACGUGUGGAAUUUUGUAUGUACCAUAUGAAUAAGGAUCGGCUAACUCCGUGCCAGCAGCCGCGGUAAUACGGAGGAUCCGAGCGUUAUCCGGAUUUAUUGGGUUUAAAGGGAGCGUAGGUGGACAGUUAAGUCAGUUGUGAAAGUUUGCGGCUCAACCGUAAAAUUGCAGUUGAUACUGGCUGUUUUGAGUACAGUAGAGGUGGGCGGAAUUCGUGGUGUAGCGGUGAAAUGCUUAGAUAUCACGAAGAACUCCGAUUGCGAAGGCAGCUCACUGGACUGCAACUGACACUGAUGCUCGAAAGUGUGGGUAUCAAACAGGAUUAGAUACCCUGGUAGUCCACACAGUAAACGAUGAAUACUCGCUGUUUGCGAUAUACAGUAAGCGGCCAAGCGAAAGCAUUAAGUAUUCCACCUGGGGAGUACGCCGGCAACGGUGAAACUCAAAGGAAUUGACGGGGGCCCGCACAAGCGGAGGAACAUGUGGUUUAAUUCGAUGAUACGCGAGGAACCUUACCCGGGCUUAAAUUGCAUUUGAAUAUAUUGGAAACAGUAUAGCCGUAAGGCAAAUGUGAAGGUGCUGCAUGGUUGUCGUCAGCUCGUGCCGUGAGGUGUCGGCUUAAGUGCCAUAACGAGCGCAACCCUUAUCUUUAGUUACUAACAGGUCAUGCUGAGGACUCUAGAGAGACUGCCGUCGUAAGAUGUGAGGAAGGUGGGGAUGACGUCAAGUCAGCACGGCCCUUACGUCCGGGGCUACACACGUGUUACAAUGGGGGGUACAGAAGGCAGCUACCUGGUGACAGGAUGCUAAUCCCAAAAGCCUCUCUCAGUUCGGAUCGAAGUCUGCAACCCGACUUCGUGAAGCUGGAUUCGCUAGUAAUCGCGCAUCAGCCAUGGCGCGGUGAAUACGUUCCCGGGCCU